rnacentral:lncRNA from 1 species
UCCAAAUGCUAUUCUACUAUUCUAAUAAUAGUGCAGUGCAAGUGCAUAGUGAAAACUCUUCUGUAAUAAUUCGGAUUUUCUAAUAGUUUGGAUUUAUGUAGGCAUUCAUUUUCCCAGCAUAAACGUUCUGGAGAUAUUAUUUCCGCAUGCGAUAACACAAUUGUUCUGUACGUGUGCAUAUAUAUUACUUACAAAUGUAUAAAUACAUUUCUAACGACACAAC